rnacentral:rRNA from 1 species
UGGGGAAUAUUGCACAAUGGGGGAAACCCUGAUGCAGCAACGCCGCGUGCGGGAUGACGGCCUUCGGGUUGUAAACCGCUUUCAGCCAUGACGAAGCUUUUGUGACGGUAGUGGCAGAAGAAGCACCGGCUAACUACGUGCCAGCAGCCGCGGCGAUACGUAGGGUGCGAGCGUUGUCCGGAAUUAUUGGGCGUAAAGAGCUUGUAGGCGGUUUGUCGCGUCGAAAGUGUAAACUCAGUGCUUAACGCUGAGCCUGCUUUCGAUACGGGCUGACUAGAGGAAGGUAGGGGAGAAUGGAAUUCCCGGUGGAGCGGUGGAAUGCGCAGAUAUCGGGAGGAACACCAGUGGCGAAGGCGGUUCUCUGGACCUUUCCUGACGCUGAGAAGCGAAAGCGUGGGUAGCAAACAGG